rnacentral:rRNA from 1 species
UACGUAGGGGGCAAGCGUUUGUCCGGAAUCAUUGGGCGUAAAGAGCGCGUAGGCGGUCCGGUAAGUCCGCUCUGAAAGUCCGGGGCUCAACCCCGGGAGGCGGGCGGAUACUGUCGGGCUAGAGUCCGGAAGAGGCGAGUGGAAUUCCUGGUGUAGCGGUGAAAUGCGCAGAUAUCAGGAGGAACACCAGCGGCGAAGGCGGUGCUCUGGGCCGGAACUGACACUGAGGAGCGAAAGCGUGGGUAGCAAACAGG